UACAGAGGUCUCAAGCGUUGUUCGGAUUCAUUGGGCGUAAAGCGCGUGUAGGCGGUUCGGUAAGUCUGCUUUGAAAGUCCAGGGCUCAACCCUGGGAUGCCGGUGGAUACUGUCGAACUAGAGUACGGAAGAGGCGAGUGGAAUUCCCGGUGUAGCGGUGAAAUGCGCAGAUAUCAGGAGGAACACCAAUUGCGAAGGCAGCUCGCUGGGACGUUACUGACGCUGAGACGCGAAAGCGUGGGGAGCGAACAGG
rnacentral:rRNA from 1 species